rnacentral:lncRNA from 1 species
UGCUGGUCUAGUGGUUAAGUGGAGUGUAAAUAUGCUAGAGGUCUUGUGUUCAAAUCUCUACAUGAUUAGGGGAUUUAUUUUUACUGCUUGUCUCGUGUGGGUGUUGUAGUUUGAUCGAAAUUCUAAGUAUUUGAGGAGUGUGGGGAGGUUGUGGUCGAUUUUUAGGAGGAUAAUGAGGGAGAUUUCAGUAGUUGUGGGAUUGGUGGAGGAAAAUAAGUAAUUUGAGGUGUUGUGGGAAGUGGACGGUUUGUGGAAGGAUAGUAGGAUAUUUUUGAGGAGUGGAUCAAGGGAGGUGGUCAAUAGUGGUGCCAAAACUGAUUCCUUUCCCAAAAUUUGGCUUUAGCUUUUGUUUCUUCUCAAUUUUCUGUCAAUUGUUCUCCUUCCUCUGCUGAAUAUUGUUAGUGAAUUUCCACUACUUCUUUUUAUUUUUUUCUUUCUUUUCUUUUUUCGGUUUUGCACACUUCCCUACCCAUCUUUUUUCUUCUUUUUCUUACGGUCACCUCCUUUCUGUUCCUGUUCGUUACUACCAAAUUGUUGAUCCUUAAGCCAAUUCUUUUUCUUUUUAUCCCCCUUUAUAUUGCUGAUUCUUGUCUCCUCCAUUCUUUCAUUCCAUUUUUCUAUCGUUGAUUGUUCUCGUGGUUUGGUUCUCGUCGCUAUUUUGGUAAGUAAAACUUUAACACCUUGUUUUGUGCCAAAUUUAAAUGCUGGUUGGAUGUUGCUAUCGUCUUGAUAGCAAGGAAUCGUUUUGAUUGAGGUCUCUUUUCUUUGGAGUGUUAGUAUAUCCGUUUGGAGUUUCAAGAUAGGUAUCGUGCGUUUGAAA